ACGAGACCUUGACUGAGUUUACUUAGUUAAGUGAAAGUGGCGGACGAGCGAGUAACACGUAAGAACCUGCCCCGUACUCAGGGAUAACUGGCCGAAAGGUCAGCUAAUACCGGAUGGUCCCGAAAGGGUAAAGAUUUAUCGGUACGGGAGGGGCUUGCGGCCUAUCAGUUUGUUGGUGAGGUAAAGGCUCACCAAGACGAUGACGGGUAGCUGAUGUGAGAGCAUGAUC
rnacentral:rRNA from 1 species